rnacentral:snRNA from 1 species
AAGGAUUCCCUUAGUAACGG